rnacentral:rRNA from 1 species
GACGAACGCUGGCGGCGUGCUUAACACAUGCAAGUCGAACGGAAAGGCCCUGCGUUUGUGGGGUUCUUGUGUGGCGAACGGGGGAGUAACACGUGAGUAAACUGCCCUUGACUUUGGGAUAACUUCAGGAAACUGGGGCUAAUACCGGAUAGGAGCUCCUGCUGCAUGGUGGUGGUUGGAAAGUUUCGGCGGUUGGGGAUGGACUCGCAGCUUAUCAGCUGGUUUGUGUGGUAGUGGUUUACCAAGGCUUUGACGGGUAGCCGGCCUGAGAGGGUGACCGGCCACAUUGGGACUAAGAUACGGACCAGACUCCUACGGGAGGCAGUGGUGGGGAGUCUUGCGCAGUGGGCGGACGCGUGAUGCAGCAACGCCGGGUGCGGGAUGACGGCCUUCGGGUUAUAAACCGCUUUCGCCUGUGACGAGGCGUGAGUGACGGUAAUGAGUAAAGAAGCACCGGCUAACUACGUG